rnacentral:rRNA from 1 species
AUGGCGCUCCCAGAUGAACUCCUUGAGGAGAUCUUCCUACGCCUCGCCGCGGCCGCCGACCUCGCGCGCGCCUCCACGGCCUGCGUCUCCUUCCGCCGCGUCAUCACCGCCCACCCCUUCCUCCGCCGGUUCCGCGCCCUCCACCCGCCGCCCCUCCUCGGCAUCCUCUGCGGCGGCCUCAUCCCCGCGCAGCCGCCCCACCCUUCCGCCGCAGCGGCAGCCGCCUUUGCCGACGCCGACUUGUCGUGCUCCUUUCUCCCCCCACCCCUUUUCUCCCGCGCCCUCGAGGGGACCGGCGGCGACUACAACCCUAGCCACCUGGUCACGGAGUUCGCCGUCUGCGACCCCCUGCACCGUCGUUACCUCCUGCUGCCGGCCCUCCCCGACCUUCUGGUCGGUCAGGUCCAUAGGCCGGACAUCGUGGAGUGCGAGCCCUUCCUCGCUCCUCCUGGCCCUGACGACGUUGGGGCUGACUGGUCGUCAUUCAGAGUCAUGUACUUGGUGCGGUGCACAACCAAGCUCUUCCUCUUCGUCUUCUCUACCUGCGCCGGACAAUGGCUCGCUAAUCCUGUUACAAUUGACGUGUUUCGAUGCGGGGCGGUGCUGCACCGCUUCUGCGCCCAUGGCUGCUUCUGUUGGGAGGUUUUCCGGUCUAACAAGUUGCUCGUGCUCGAUGCGCGCAGGAUAGAGUUCUCCACUGUUGACCUCCCGCCUCCACCUGGCCUGAUGUGCGAAAGAUGGCCAUUGUAG